rnacentral:rRNA from 1 species
UUCCGCAGGUCCCCCUACGGAAGGAUC